UUAUGACGGUACCUGCAGAAGAAGCCCCGGCCAACUACGUGCCAGCAGCCGCGGUAAUACGUAGGGGGCGAGCGUUGUCCGGAAUUAUUGGGCGUAAAGAGCUCGUAGGCGGCUUGGCAAGUCACGUGUGAAAUCUCCAGGCUCAACCUGGAGAUGCCAAGUGAUACUGCCAUGGCUUGAGUCCGGUAGGGGACCAUGGAAUUCCUGGUGUAGCGGUGAAAUGCGCAGAUAUCAGGAGGAACACCAGUGGCGAAGGCGGUGGUCUGGGCCGGAACUGACGCUGAGGAGCGAAAGCGUGGGGAGCGAACAGGAUUAGAUACCCUGGUAGUCCACGCCGUAAACGUUGGGCACUAGGUGUGGGACCCUAUCGACGGGUUCCGUGCCGCAGCUAACGCAUUAAGUGCCCCGCCUGGGGAGUACGGCCGCAAGGCUA
rnacentral:rRNA from 1 species